rnacentral:rRNA from 1 species
UACGAAGGGGGCUAGCGUUGUUCGGAAUCACUGGGCGUAAAGCGCACGCAGGCGGCUAAAUAAGUCAGGGGUGAAAUCCCGGAGCUCAACCUCGGAAUUGCCUUUGAUACUGUUUAUCUCGAGUUCGGGAGAGGUUGGCGGAAUUCCUAGUGUAGAGGUGAAAUUCGUAGAUAUUAGGAAGAACACCAGUGGCGAAGGCGGCCAACUGGCCCGAUACUGACGCUCAUGUGCGAAAGCGUGGGGAGCAAACAGG